rnacentral:rRNA from 1 species
AACGCGAAGAACCUUACCUGGGCUUGACAUGCCAGCUAAACUCUNUGAAAGGAGAGGUCCUUCGGGAAGCUGGCACAGGUGNUGCAUGGCUGUCGUCAGCUNGUGUCGUGAGAUGUUGGGUUAAGUCCCGCANCGAGCGCAACCCCUACAAUUAGUUGNUAACAGGUCAAGCUGAGGACUCUAAUUGAACUGCNUACGCAAGUAGAGAGGAAGGAGGGGAUGACGUCAAGUCCUCAUGGCCCUUACGUCCAGGGCUACACACGUGAUACAAUGGUAACUACAGAGGGCAAAACCGCGAGGUUGAGGAAAUCCCUUAAAAGUUAUCCUAGUCCGGAUCGGAGUCUGCAACUCGACUCCGUGNAGCUGGAAUCGCUAGUNAUCGCAGAUCANCAUGCUGCGGUGAAUGUGUU